rnacentral:rRNA from 1 species
UAUUGCACAAUGGGCGAAAGCCUGAUGCAGCGACGCCGCGUGAGUGAAGAAGUAUCUCGGUUNUUAAAGCUCUAUCAGCAGGGAANNCANNNANGGUACCUGACUAAGAAGCCCCGGCCAACUACGUGCCNNNAGCGGCGGUAAUACGUAGGGGGCAAGCGUUAUCCGGAUUUAAUGGGUGUAAAGGGAGCGUAGACGGCCACGCAAGUCGGGAGUGAAAGCCCGGGGCCCAACCCCGGGACUGCUUUGGAAACUGUGCUGCUGGAGUGCAGGAGAGGUAAGUGGAAUUCCUAGUGUAGCGGUGAAAUGCGUAGAUAUUAGGAGGAACACCAGUGGCGAAGGCGGCUUACUGGACUGUAACUGACGUUGAGGCUCGAAAGCGUGGGGAGCAAACAG